CGCAACUUGCGCCUUUUGGUAUUCCGAAAGGCAUGCCUGUUUGAGUGUCAUGUGGACUCAACCCCCGAGGUUUUUUGCCUUGGACGGUUGGAAUUGGGCGCUGCCUCUGGCUCGCCUUAAAAGCGUUAGUGGGAACAGCCCCAUCUCAGGUGUAAUAAGUUUCACUUGUGAUCCGGUGACAGCCCGCUUACAACCCCCAUAUUUAUGACUCUGGCCUCAAAUCAGGUAGGACUACCCGCUGAACUUAA
rnacentral:misc_RNA from 1 species